GCUGUUCCCGUCGAAAGCCAGAGAGAGCCCGGCGGCCGCGGUCACCACCACGUCGGCGCCGCUCACGUACGCGCGCAGGCGCGAGUCCAGCUGGCCUGGGCCAAGACAGAGCCUUCAGCUCCUAACCGAGGCUGGCAGGACCCCUUGCCCCCACUAGGGGGCUCCAAGGGUCAUGCUGCCCGACUUACCCGGACUUUGCCGAUCUCGCCUUUGUGGAUGGAGAUAUUGAAGCCGAGGGCAGACACGGUGACGAGCCUCACAUAUGACACAGCAGGGUUGCCCCGGUUCUCAUUCUUGGUGGUGACGGUGAAGGGGGUCAGGCCCUGGGAGCUGCCCCCCUGGGAGCCAGCUGCUGCCAGCACAUAGUUGCACGUGCCUUGGAAGUCAAAGUCCCAGCCAUCAAAGGAGUGGUAGUGUGGGUCGCCCCAUAGCCAGCAUGUGGCCUCAUAGUUGGGCACGCACACAGCCUGGCCAGCUUUCUCCUGGCAGGUCUCCUGUGGUCGACACGUCACACCGUGGCAUGGGUCUGGAGACAGGGAGAGAGGACAUUCUAGGGCUGUCCGGCCAAAGGACAGCUGCUUCCCAACAUCUGCCCCAGUCUCUGCCCCAGGCUACUGUACUGGUGGCUGAGGAUGGAUAUCAGGGGCCUCCCAACUGAGACCCACGCCUGGCAGUUUGCUGCCUGAGACCUUGCAGCCAAGACCCAGACUGUAGGGUCCUUACAUUGGAACCCAGCCCCAAGGGGUCCCGUUAUCUGUGAUGCCAGCCCUGAGGGCAUCCAUGAGAGGGCAUCCACAGCCCCAGGGUUUUCUGUGUUCCAGACCUGGGCCCUUAUUUCCCCAUGCACCUAAGCUGCCAGCCUUCUGGGGGCCACCCCCUCUGAGACUCCGUCCUGGAGGUUUCUGUGCUAAACCAAGGGGACGCACUCAGCCAGUCCAUGGCCCCAGCUGGCCUCCUGGAGAGUCACUUAGGCUCUGGCCCACAGCUUCCCACUGAGUUUUGGGAGUUUUGCGAGCACCCCACCAGGAUCUUCCUGCCUGCUUGCUCCAGCCUGCACAACCUCUAAGCCAGUAGGCUCCGGCUGCAUCUUCCAAUGACAUCUGCCUCUCGGCCUCCCUCCCUUCCCUGGGUGCCCUGCUUUAGCUUUAGGGGCGGGGGCUGCUCCUGACAUCUGCUUUUCUUUUGUUCAUUCAUGUUCUUCUUACCCCCCUAGUACUUGAUUACAAGUAUAUUCUGUAGAUUAAACUCCGCAUUGAA